GACGUAGGGCGUGAGCGUUGUCCGGAUUUAUUGGGCGUAAAGAGCUCGUAGGCGGCUCGUUGCGUCGGCUGUGAAAACCCGCAGCUCAACUGUGGGCUUGCAGCUGAUACGGGCGGGCUGGGAUUCGGUAGGGGAGACUGGAAUUCCCAGUGUAGAGGUGAAAUUCGUAGAUAUUGGGGAAGAACACCGGUGGCGAAGGCGGCUCUCUGGACCGAUACUGACGCUGAGGCGCGAAACGUGGGGAGCAA
rnacentral:rRNA from 1 species